AAGACCUUGCGCUUUUGGAGCGGCCGAUGCCUGAUUAGCUUGUUGGUAAGGUAAAAGCUUACCAAGGCUUCGAUCAGUAGCUGGUCUGAGAGGACGGCCAGCCACACUGGGACUGAGACGCGGCCCAGACUCCUACGGGAGGCAGCAGUGGGGAAUUUUGGACAAGGGGGGCAACCCUGAUCCAGCCAUGCCGCGUGAGUGAAGAAGGCCUUCGGGUUGUAAAGCUCUUUCAGCCGGAACGAAACGGUUACGGUUAAUACCCGUGAUUACUGACGGUACCGGAAGAAGAAGCACCGGCUAACUACGUGCCAGCAGCCGCGGUAAUACGUAGGGUGCGAGCGUUAAUCGGAAUUACUGGGCGUAAAGCGUGCGCAGGUGGUUUUGUAAGUCAGAUGUGAAAGCCCCGGGCUCAACCUGGGAACU
rnacentral:rRNA from 1 species